UUACGGUCAAUCCUUUAUGCUCCGACCCAUAUACUAGGGUAGUAUCUUUUUAAGUACCUUCCGUUCAGAGCCCUAGUAAAUUCUUCUCCCUCGAUUGUUUCCAGAAUAUAAGCAUUUCCUGGAGCACAUCUACCGAUUUUAUACGGCCCUUCCCAUGUAGGGGACCACUUUCCGAAUUUAGGAUCUUUCGACCCAAUCGGCAAUACUAACUUCCAAACCAAGUCCCCAGGGGAGAAUUGUUUGACUUUGACCUUCUUAUCGUACCAUCUGGCUACUUUCUUUUUAUUUUCUUCGAUGCUUAUCAAGGCUCUUAACCGCUGGCCGGCCAAGU
rnacentral:lncRNA from 1 species